rnacentral:rRNA from 1 species
GAUGAACGCUGGCGGCGUGCCUAACACAUGCAAGUCGAACGAAGCACCUUACCUGAUUCUUCGGAUGAAAGUUUGGUGACUGAGUGGCGGACGGGUGAGUAACGCGUGGGUAACCUGCCCUGUACAGGGGGAUAACAGCUGGAAACGGCUGCUAAUACCGCAUAAGCGCACGAGGAGACAUCUCCUUGUGUGAAAAACUCCGGUGGUACAGGAUGGGCCCGCGUCUGAUUAGCUGGUUGGCAGGGUAACGGCCUACCAAGGCAACGAUCAGUAGCCGGUCUGAGAGGAUGAACGGCCACAUUGGAACUGAGACACGGUCCAAACUCCUACGGGAGGCAGCAGUGGGGAAUAUUGCACAAUGGGGGAAACCCUGAUGCAGCAACGCCGCGUGAGUGAAGAAGUAUUUCGGUAUGUAAAGCUCUAUCAGCAGGGAAGAUAAUGACGGUACCUGACCAAGAAGCUCCGGCUAAAUACGUG